AUUACAUGAGCUUUGUAUGUGAUGAAAAAUAGAAGCAUAUAGAUAUAAAUGUACUCCAUUAAUAAGAUCAUUAUAGCUAUCAUUUACUCUUUUUCAUCACAUACAAAGCUCAUGUAAUUAUGAACUAUGACAUAUUGAACAUAAAUUGCUUUGAGAUGAUAUAUGGAGCAAUCUAUUAUGGGUUUUGAUUCUGAGGCCUAUUGGGAGGGGAUGGAGGGAGGUAAGGUAUCCAAGUUCUUGGGUCUCUUAGAU
rnacentral:misc_RNA from 1 species